GGUCGUAUGUGUGGUGCCAUUU
rnacentral:miRNA from 1 species